CACGGGGUUGCGAGCGUUGUCCGGAAUUACUAGGCGUAAAGGGCAGGCAGGCGGAUCCAUAAGUUUAUCGUUUAAGGCGUCGGCUUAACCGGCGUAGGGCGGUAGAUACUGUGGAUCUGGAAUGCGGUUGGGGAAGACAGAAUUCCUGGUGUAGCGGUGGAAUGCGCAGAGAUCAGGAGGAAUACCGAAGGCGAAGGCAGUCUUCCAAGCCGUUAUUGACGCUCAACUGCGAAGGUGUGGGUAUCAAACAGGAUUAGAUACCCGGUAGUCCCUGAG
rnacentral:rRNA from 1 species